GUUUUCCCUUCAAGGCGUUCUGUGAUGCAGCAUUAUACCACGGUGAAUGGGAAUAAAGAAAACAACAAUCUCCAGGCUCACAGGAGAUGGCAGGAGCUCCCAGCAGGGAGGAAGAGGUGUAAGCACACAGUGUCAGCCUCGUGCUUCUCUUCCCAGGUCCAAUGAGGACUGAAGCAAGCACAGGCAAUGCUGAUGCAGUGGGGAAUUCAGCUCCCACGCACCGGAAGGUUUGGAAGCAUCAAGCUCUAUUUUAACACUAAGUGCAUUACAGCAAAAGCCAAUUCAAUAUUAAGAAUAAGUGCUUUGUAGUGUAUAUACCUUUCAAUACACUUCAUAAUGACCUAGAAGAUGAAUUGAACGAUGAGGUGGUGAAACUAAGCAAGAACCCAUGGAAGACUGCGAGGAUAUCUGGAAGGAUUUAAUAAAGCUGGAUGAUAAAUACAUGGAAAUCAUGCAAAUGCACUGGGGGGGGAAGUAGUUGCUCAUGUGUACUGAUGAAUUCUGAAUUAGCUGCAACUUCUCAAAUGAAAAGACUUGGUGUUGUUGUGGGUAGCGCAAGGCCUAAUAUCUGAUGCAGAAGAAAGCAGUGAGAGCCUGGAGCACAUUAAUAAUAGGUGGAAGACUGAAUUUUGCCCAGUGCAUCUUCCUGAAGCCACUAAAAUAUAACAAAUGUUGCAUUUAAUUCAAGUAAGAGAAAUUGCUCAUGACUGAACUUCCUAAGAUUAGUACCAGUUUUACAACCUAAAUGGGUAGCGAGUUGGGCUGGUCACAGUAGAAAACCUCUUUAGUAACUUAGAGAAAAGAAUAGCCAUUGGGAAAAUUGUUUAGUAGAGAUUUUUUUGUCUUCAUUGCCAAAAUCAGUUAUGAUUUGGUCCCCUUGCCUUAGAGGGGGAAAAAAGUGUGUGAAACUAUCCUUUAUGUUGACUGGAGAAGAAUCAACCCCAAAGUUUCUGUUUAUGUACAUGUAUGUAAAGAGAGCAGGAAGGCUGGCCUCCGUAUGAGAUUAAAAUGAAAGGAUUAAAAUGCCAUUGG
rnacentral:lncRNA from 7 species